CCAGAAGUCGGCCUGUACGUAGCGACGGGUGCUGUACGCAUGACGUUGCUACUGUUCUUGUUUUGGCAGUUUGUUUCGAUAUUCACCGAUAGCCAGUCCAUCAAGAGGGCGUUUUGUAUUGGUUAUCCACCACGAAGCUGCGAUGGUAUUGAUUGAGCAGUGACUGAUUCAGGGAGCUGGUAAGUGUAGUUUCACAAUGGCAGAUGGAGGCAGUGAUGAUGAUGUCAUUCACCUGGCAAGCUUCAAUGUCCACCGCAGCCAAGGCUCCCGUUCCCGUAAGAGGGAGCUCAUCACCAUCUCCGAUGACUCCGAUGAGGAGCCUGUGACUCUGGUACCUGGCAGCCCUGUUUUAGUCCCCGACGAUGCAGAUGAUGACGACGUCAGCAUAUUGGAGGUGACUGAUAAACCCUGUUCUUAAAUAUGUUUGUGAAACAAACUUGUUAUUUAUCUGUUACUUUAUACAAAAAGGUCAGUUUGUUAUACAGGCGUGUUCUACUGUA
rnacentral:lncRNA from 1 species